CCUACGGUGGCUGCAGUGGGGAAUAUUGGACAAUGGGCGAAAGCCUGAUCCAGCCAUGCCGCGUGUGUGAAGAAGGCCUUCGGGUUGUAAAGCACUUUCAGUGGGGAAGAAAGCCUUGGGGCUAAUACCCUCGAGGAAGGACAUCACCCACAGAAGAAGCACCGGCUAACUCCGUGCCAGCAGCCGCGGUAAUACGGAGGGUGCGAGCGUUAAUCGGAAUUACUGGGCGUAAAGCGCGCGUAGGCGGUCUGAUAAGCCGGUUGUGAAAGCCCCGGGCUCAACCUGGGAACGGCAUCCGGAACUGUCAGGCUAGAGUGCAGGAGAGGAAGGUAGAAUUCCCGGUGUAGCGGCGAAAUGCGUAGAGAUCGGGAGGAAUACCAGUGGCGAAGGCGGCCAUCUGGACUGACACUGACGCUGAGGUGCGAAAGCGUGGGUAGCAAACAGGAUUAGAUACCCGAGUAGUC
rnacentral:rRNA from 1 species